AGUGAACGCUGGCGGUAGGCCUAACACAUGCAAGUCGAACGGCAGCACAGUAAGAGCUUGCUCUUACGGGUGGCGAGUGGCGGACGGGUGAGGAAUACAUCGGAAUCUACUUUUUCGUGGGGGAUAACGUAGGGAAACUUACGCUAAUACCGCAUACGACCUACGGGUGAAAGCAGGGGAUCUUCGGACCUUGCGCGAUUGAAUGAGCCGAUGUCGGAUUAGCUAGUUGGCGGGGUAAAGGCCCACCAAGGCGACGAUCCGUAGCUGGUCUGAGAGGAUGAUCAGCCACACUGGAACUGAGACACGGUACAGACUCCUACGGGAGGCAGCAGUGGGGAAUAUUGGACAAUGGGCGCAAGACUGAUCCAGCCAUACCGCGUGGGUGAAGAAGGGCUUAGGGUUGUAAAGCCCUUUUGUUGGGAAAGAAAAGCAGCAGGUUAAUACCCCGCUGUUCUGACGGUACCCAAAGAAUAAGCACCGGCUAACUUCGUG
rnacentral:rRNA from 1 species